rnacentral:rRNA from 1 species
UAGGGAAUCUUCCGCAAUGGACGAAAGUCUGACGGAGCAACGCCGCGUGAGUGAUGAAGGUUUUCGGAUCGUAAAACUCUGCUGUUAGGGAAGAACAAGUAUCGUUCGAAUAGGGCGGUACCUUGACGGUACCUAACCAGAAAGCCACGGCUAACUACGUGCCAGCAGCCGCGGUAAUACGUAGGUGGCAAGCGUUGUCCGGAAUUAUUGGGCGUAAAGCGCGCGCAGGCGGUUUCUUAAGUCUGAUGUGAAAUCUUGCGGCUCAACCGCAAGCGGCCAUUGGAGACUGGGAGACUUGAGUGCAGAAGAGGAAGGUGGAAUUCCACGUGUAGCGGUGAAAUGCGUAGAGAUGUGGAGGAACACCAGUGGCGAAGGCGACUCUCUGGUCUGUAACUGACGCUGAGGCGCGAAAGCGUGGGGAGCGAACAGG